GAUGAAGAACGCAGCGAAAUGCGAUAAGUAAUGCGAAUUGCAGAAUCCGUGAGUCAUCGAAUCUUUGAACGCAUAUUGCGCCCUUUGGCAUUCCGAAGGGCAUGCCUGUUCGAGCGUCAUUAUCACCCCUCAAGCCCCGGCUUGGUGUUGGGCUUAGUUACGGAUCACCUAUAACUGGCCUCAAAGAUAGUGACGGCGCCCCAGGGGGAACCGGUACGAGGAGCUUCCAGUUAAGCAUGUACGCGGGACGACUCUGCGGGCGACGGUCUUUUCAUUUCCCCAAGUGUUGACCUCGGAUCAGGUAGGAAUACCCGCUGAACUUAAGCAUAUCAAUAAGCGGAGGA
rnacentral:misc_RNA from 1 species